GGGAUAUUAGCUCAGUUGGUAGAGCACUUGACUUUUAAUCAAGUUGUCCGGGGUUCGAAUCCCCGAUAUCUCA
rnacentral:tRNA from 1 species